UGGGGAAUAUUGCACAAUGGGCGCAAGCCUGAUGCAGCGACACCGCGUGAGGGAUGACGGCCUUCGGGUUGUAAACCUCUUUCAGCAGGGACGAAGCGCAAGUGACGGUACCUGCAGAAGAAGCACCGGCCAACUACGUGCCAGCAGCCGCGGUAAUACGUAGGGUGCGAGCGUUGUCCGGAAUUACUGGGCGUAAAGAGCUCGUAGGCGGUUUGUCGCGUCGUCUGUGAAAUUCUGCAGCUUAACUGCAGGCGUGCAGGCGAUACGGGCAGACUUGAGUACUACAGGGGAGACUGGAAUUCCUGGUGUAGCGGUGAAAUGCGCAGAUAUCAGGAGGAACACCGGUGGCGAAGGCGGGUCUCUGGGUAGUAACUGACGCUGAGGAGCGAAAAGCGUGGGUAGCGAACAGGAUUAGAUACCCUGGUAGUCCACGCCGUAAACGGUGGGUACUAGGUGUGGGUUCCAUUUCACGGGAUCCGUGCCGUAGCUAACGCAUUAAGUACCCCGCCUGGGGAGUACGGCCGCAAGGCUAAAAACUC
rnacentral:rRNA from 1 species